rfam:Gymnopus luxurians FD-317 M1 unplaced genomic scaffold GYMLTscaffold_24, whole genome shotgun sequence.
UCCAAUGUGGUGUAGUGGCUAACAUUGCUGUCUUUCAUACAGUAAAGCAGAAUACAUGAAUUGCACAGCAGCCCGGGGUUCGAUUCCCCGCAUUGGAA